GCUGGGGAAAAUAUAAGUAUAAAUGUAUGUAACACCUAAACUGUGCAAUUUUAGACACAUUUUGUAAUGUUGUAUGUGCACUUUGGGUUUUUUUGGUGGGUUUUGUUUUGAUUUUAUUUAAGAAGGGAGAUCUUUGUGUCUUUGUGAUUUUAUUUAAGAAGGCAGAUCUUUGUGUCUUUGAAUCUCCCUUUUGUAGAACUCUUGGACCUGCGGGCCGACCAGAAUCUGAAGCUCCACCCUUCCGCCCUAAAAAGCGACCCUGCUGAAGCCACUGUCCAUUGCAGCACCACCACAGCACGAUGACGUACAUGGAAACCUCCCAUAGUCAGAACAGCUACUGGCUCCAGUCCAAUACUGCGUUGAACUGCCCACGGAACCGGCAGAACAUUUCCUGGUUCGACUACAAGCUGCCUUUGAUGACUGCAGUGACCUUGCUCGUCCCAACGAUUAACCUGGACACGCAUGCUGCUGCCACCCCCACUUCACAUCGUGGACAGGAUGACCAAAUGGGACACUGGGUACGAGAUUGCCCCAACAGAAGAAGAGGAAGAGGAAAAAGAGGAAGAGCGAGAAAUGGUGUGAUGUGUGCUUCUGCUGUGGCCGAAGCGGACAUUGGCCGAGAAUUUGGCGUUCCUGGUGGUGAGAGACGUGGACACAGAGGAGGACACGUCCACCAUGGACAACCCCAAUUGGGCUGAAAAGGUGAAGCGGGGUGGAGCUCCAGACGAAGGCGCGGCCGCAGUCCUGGAGGAAGUUUCAAAUAAGGUCAUGCAUACCUACACUGACACUCACGUUCAAUACAAAAACAUACAAACAUUCCACACUCCCCAAUACACACUGAUACACGCUUACACUCCCUGCACAUUCCACACAUCCUGCUUCCUCUGAGAAGGGAAUUUUUUUUCUUUCCUCAUUGUUGAUUGUAGUGCAGCCAUGUGAAGCACAGUGGAAGAUAUAUUUACCCAAAGUAAAAAAGGAGGCUUCGCGUUUAUAUUGUGCUGCAAUUGUGGGUUUUAUUUUAUUGUGUUACCCCAGCCACAGCAUUUUAAUGUCCAAUGGUACGCUGUAUUAUUUUUUUUCUUGAUUUAAAUGAUAGCAUUGAGAUGACAACAUAGUCCUGGUUAUGACUUGCGCUGUGCCCUUUUUGUUUCCUUGAACCCACACUCACCACCAAGCUGGAGCAUCUGGGACUCAGCUCAUCUUUCUGUCAGUGGAUCUCCAACUUCUUAACUGGGAGACCACAGACAGUAAGGAUGGGCGGACAUGUCUCAGCCUCCAUCACUCUCAGCACUGGAGCCCUGGUACAAGAGGAACAAUCUCCACCUGAACGUCAGCAAGACAAAGGAGUUAAUUCUGCACUUCAGUACCAAGCAGGAGAGGACCUACCAGACCCGUCAUCAGCAGGAGCCCAGUGGACAUAGUGGACAGCUUCCGUUACCUCGGUGUUAACAUCACGCAGGACCUGUCAUGGUCCUGUCACAUCAACACCGUGGUGAAAAAGGCCCGGCAGCGUCUCUACCAACUCAGACGCCUGAGAGACUUCAGACUGCCCUCCAAGGUGCUCAGGAACUUCUACUCCUGCACCAUAGAGAGCAUCCUGACGGGAAACAUCUCAACCUGGUUUGGGAACUGCACCAUGAAGGACAGGCGAGCCCUACAGAGGAUGGUUCCAUUAGCUGAACGCAUCAUCUGUACCAAGCUCCCUGACCUUCAAUCAAUCUACAGCAAGCGGUGCUGGACAAGGCCAGGAAGAUAGUGAAGGACCUCAGCCACCCCAACAAUGGGCUGUUCUCUCUGCUGCGGUCAAGGAAGUCCAACACAGAGAGAAUGAGGAGGAGCUUCUUCCCGCAGGUCAUAUGAGCUCUCAACAACCACAACACUUCAUAGAACUCCAAUACACUCCAGCACUUUCACUCUCAAUCACUUCUAGACUCAAUCCCCACAGUAUUUUUGCGCAAACUCUUUAAACUUUACUCUUUUUUUAAUCUUGCACAAAUGUUUUACUUUUUCACGUUAUUCCUUGCUGUUACACAUAUUUUAUGUUUUAUGCUAAAGACAUAAAAGUGUAAUAUUUGGUUAUGUUUGCAAUAUUUGCAUAUUGGUUCAUUGUAAACUUGCAAUAUUUGCAAUACUGUGGUCUGUAGCAGUCGCCAAAGCAUUUCACUGCAUAUCAUACCGUGUAUGACUGUGUAUGUGACAAAUAAAAUUUGAAUUUGAAUUUGAAUGCUCCA
ensembl:lncRNA